rnacentral:rRNA from 1 species
AGUGAACGCUGGCGGCGUGCUUAACACAUGCAAGUCGAACGGAGAAAGAGAGGUUCGCCUUUCUUUCUUAGUGGCACACGGGUGAGUAAUGUAUAGCUAACCUGCCCCUUGGUGGGGGACGAACAGAUGGGAACGUCUGCUAAUACCCAUACUCCUUCUUACUCUAAGGUAAGUCGUGAAGCUCCGGUGCCAAGGGAUGGGCGUGUAUCCUAUCAGCCUGUUGGUGAGGCAAUGGCUCACCAAGGCAAAUGACGGGUAGCUGGUCUGAGAGGAUGAUCAGCCACACUGGAACUGAGACACGGUCCAGACUCCUACGGGAGGCAGCAUG